rnacentral:rRNA from 1 species
ACGUAGGGGGCAAGCGUUGUCCGGAUUUAUUGGGCGUAAAGAGCGUGUAGGCGGCCAGAUAGGUCAGCUGUGAAAACUCGAGGCUCAACCUCGAGAUGUCGGCUGAAACCAUCUGGCUAGAGUCCGGAAGAGGAGAAUGGAAUUCCCGGUGUAGCGGUGAAAUGCGCAGAUAUCGGGAAGAACACCCGUGGCGAAGGCGGUUCUCUGGGACGGUACUGACGCUGAGACGCGAAAGCGUGGGGAGCGAACAGGAUUAGAAACCCGCGUAGUCC